rnacentral:rRNA from 1 species
AUUGAACGCUGGCGGCAUGCUUUACACAUGCAAGUCGAACGGUAACAGGUUAAGCUGACGAGUGGCGAACGGGUGAGUAAUGCAUCGGAACGUGCCCGAUCGUGGGGGAUAACGCAGCGAAAGCUGCGCUAAUACCGCAUACGAUCUGAGGAUGAGAGCGGGGGACCGUAAGGCCUCGCGCGAUCGGAGCGGCCGAUGUCAGAUUAGGUAGUUGGUGGGGUAAAGGCUCACCAAGCCAACGAUCUGUAGCUGGUCUGAGAGGACGACCAGCCACACUGGGACUGAGACACGGCCCAGACUCCUACGGGAGGCAGCAGUGGGGAAUUUUGGACAAUGGGCGAAAGCCUGAUCCAGCAAUGCCGCGUGCAGGAAGAAGGCCUUCGGGUUGUAAACUGCUUUUGUACGGAGCGAAAAGGUCUCCUCUAAUACAGGGGGCUCAUGACGGUACCGUAAGAAUAAGCACCGGCUAACUACGUGCCAGCAGCCGCGGUAA